rnacentral:rRNA from 1 species
GACGAACGCUGGCGGCGUGCUUAACACAUGCAAGUCGAACGGAAAGGCCCUGCUUUUGUGGGGUGCUCGAGUGGCGAACGGGUGAGUAACACGUGAGUAACCUGCCCUUGACUUCGGGAUAACUUCAGGAAACUGGGGCUAAUACCGGAUAGGAGCUCCUGCUGCAUGGUGGGGGGUGGAGAGUUUCGGCGGUUGGGGAUGGACUCGCGGCUUAUCAGCUUGUUGGUGGGGUAGUGGCUUACCAAGGCUUUGACGGGUAGCCGGCCUGAGAGGGUGAACGGCCACAUUGGGACUGAGAUACGGCCCAGACUCCUACGGGAGGCAGCAGUGGGGAAUAUUGCACAAUGGGCGGAAGCCUGAUGCAGCAACGCCGCGUGCGGGAUGACGGCCUUCGGGUUGUAAACCGCUUUCGCCUGUGACGAAGCGUGAGUGACGGUAAUGGGUAAAGAAGCACCGGCUAACUACGUG